rnacentral:rRNA from 1 species
AGGACGUACUCAGAGAUGGGUAUUUCUUCGGACCUCCCGCACAGGUGCUGCAUGGCUGUCGUCAGCUCGUGUCGUGAGAUGUUGGGUUAAGUCCCGCAACGAGCGCAACCCUUGUCUUUAGUUGCCAGCACUUUCAGGUGGGCACUCUAGAGAGACUGCCGGUGACAAGCCGGAGGAAGGUGGGGAUGACGUCAAGUCCUCAUGGCCCUUAUGUCCUGGGCUACACACGUGCUACAAUGGCGGUGACAGUGGGAAGCUAUGUGGUGACACAGUGCUGAUCUCUAAAAGCCGUCUCAGUUCGGAUUGUACUCUGCAACUCGAGUACAUGAAGGUGGAAUCGCUAGUAAUCGCGGAUCAGCAUGCCGCGGUGGAUACGUUCCCGGGCCUUGUACACACCGCCCGUCACACCAUGGGAGUUGGUUCGACCUUAAGCCGGUGAGCGAACCGCAAGGACGCAGCCGACCACGGACGGGUCAGCGACUGGGGUGAAGUCGUAACAAGGUAGGCGUACGUGU